rnacentral:rRNA from 1 species
UACGUAGGCAGCGAGCGUUGUUCGGAGUUACUGGGCGUAAAGGGUGCGCAGGCGGUGGAGCAAGUCUGUUGUGAAAUCUCCCGGCUUAACCGGGAGGGUGCGGCGGAAACUGUUCUGCUGGAGUGAGGGAGAGGCAAGGCGGAAUUCCUGGUGUAGCGGUGAAAUGCGUAGAUAUCAGGAGGAACACCCGUGGUGCAGACGGCUUGCUGGACCUCCACUGACGCUGAGGAGCGAAAGCGUGGGGAGCGAACAGG